AUUGAACGCUGGCGGCAGGCUUAACACAUGCAAGUCGAACGAUGACUCUCUAGCUUGCUAGAGAUGAUUAGUGGCGGACGGGUGAGUAACAUUUAGGAAUCCGCCUAGUAGUGGGGGAUAGCUCGGGGAAACUCGAAUUAAUACCGCAUACGACCUACGGGUGAAAGGGGGCGCAAGCUCUUGCUAUUAGAUGAGCCUAAAUCAGAUUAGCUAGUUGGUGGGGUAAAGGCCUACCAAGGCGACGAUCUGUAACUGGUCUGAGAGGAUGAUCGGUGACACCGGAACUGAGACACGGUCCGGACUCCUACGGGAGGCAGCAGUGGGGAAUAUUGGACAAUGGGGGCAACCCUGAUCCAGCCAUGCCGCGUGUGUGAAGAAGGCCUUUUGGUUGUAAAGCACUUUAAGCAGGGAGGAGAGGCUAAUGGUUAAUACCCAUUAGAUUAGACGUUACCUGCAGAAUAAGCACCGGCUAACUCUGUGCCAGCCGCCGCAGUAAUAC
rnacentral:rRNA from 1 species